rnacentral:rRNA from 1 species
AUACAAUAUGGUAUAGAUAAUCCAGAAGAAGUCUGCAUAAAAGUCUUUGCCCAAAAGGAUAAUCCUAGAAUUCCGUCUGUCUUCUGGAUUUGGAGAAGUGCCGAUUUUCAAGAACGCGAAUCUUAUGAUAUGGUGGGAAUCUCUUAUGAUAAUCAUCCGCGCCUUAAACGUAUCCUAAUGCCUGAAAGUUGGAUAGGCUGGCCCUUACGUAAGGAUUAUAUAACCCCCAAUUUUUAUGAAAUACAAGAUGCUCAUUGA